rnacentral:rRNA from 1 species
AGGGAAUUUUCCACAAUGGACGAAAGUCUGAUGGAGCAACGCCGCGUGAACGAUGAAGGUCUUCGGAUUGUAAAGUUCUGUUGUCAGGGACGAAUAAGUACCGUUCGAACAGGGCGGUACCUUGACGGUACCU